rnacentral:rRNA from 1 species
CUCUUGAGAGCGGCGGACGGGGGAGUAAUACCUGAGAAUCUGCCUGAUAGUGGGGGAUAACGUUCGGAAACGGACGCUAAUACCGCAUACGUCCUACGGGAGAAAGCAGGGGAUCUUCGGACCUUGCGCUAUCAGAUGAGCCCAGGUCGGAUUAGCUUGUUGGUGAGGUAACGGCUCACCAAGGCGACGAUCCGUAACUGGUCUGAGAGGAUGAUCAGUCACACUGGAACUGAGACACGGUCCAGACUCCUACGGGAGGCAGCAGUGGGGAAUAUUGGACAAUGGGCGAAAGCCUGAUCCAGCCAUGCCGCGUGUGUGAAGAAGGUCUUCGGAUUGUAAAGCACUUUAAGUUGGGAGGAAGGGUUGUAGUUUAAUACGCUGCAAUCUUGACGUUACCGACAGAAUAAGCACCGGCUAACUCUGUGCCAGCAGCCGCGGUAAUACAGAGGGUGCAAGCGUUAAUCGGAAUUACUGGGCGUAAAGCGCGCGUAGGUGGCUAAGUAAGAUGGGUGUGAAAUCCCCGGGCUCAACCUGGGA